rnacentral:rRNA from 1 species
ACGAAGGGGGCUAGCGUUGUUCGGAAUUACUGGGCGUAAAGGGCGCGCAGGCGGCUUUGUAAGUUAGGCGUGAAAGGCCUGGGCUUAACCCGGGAAUUGCGCUUGAGACUGCGAAGCUUGAGGGUGGGAGGGGAUGGUGGAAUUCCCAGUGUAGAGGUGAAAUUCGUAGAUAUUGGGAAGAACACCAAUGGCGAAGGCGGCCAUCUGGACCAUCACUGACGCUGAGGCGCGAAAGCGUGGGGAGCAAACAGGA